rnacentral:rRNA from 1 species
UACGUAUGGUGCAAGCGUUAUCCGGAUUUACUGGGCGUAAAGGGAGCGCAGGCGGCGCGCCAAGUCUGAUGUGAAACCCCGGGGCUCAACCCCGGGCAUGCAUUGGAAACUGGUAGACUUGAGUGCAGGAGAGGAGAGUGGAAUUCCAUGUGUAGCGGUGAAAUGCGUAGAUAUAUGGAGGAACACCGGUGGCGAAAGCGGCUCUCUGGCCUGUAACUGACACUGAGGCUCGAAAGCGUGGGGAGCAAACAGG